rnacentral:piRNA from 1 species
GGGCUCAUAGAUACAGAGGGGCAUGGUG